UGAAUACGAGAUGCUACGGCGUCGAAGCAGUGUAUGUCAGACUUCCAAGAAAAGCUCGCAAUGUCAUAAAUAAAGAAUGCCUGUACCAUAACCGACACAGGUGGGUAGGUAGAGUAUACUAAGGGACGCGAGAUAACUCUCUCUAAGGAACUCGGCAAAAUAACUCCGUAACUUCGGGAGAAGGAGUGCCUUCUUUAAGAAGGUUGCAAUAACAAGAUCCAAGCAACUGUUUAUCAAAAACACAGGUCUCCGCUAAGUCGUAAGACGAUGUAUGGGGGCUGACGCCUGCCCAGUGCCAGAAGGUUAAAGAAGCUGGUUAGCAAUAGCGAAGCUGGUGACUGAAGCCCUGGUGAACGGCGGCCGUAACGAUAACGGUCCUAAGGUAGCGAAAUUCCUUGUCGGGUAAGUUCCGACCCGCACGAAAGGCGUAAUGAUUUGGAUACUGUCUCGGAGAGGGACUCGGUGAAAUAGACUUGUCUGUGAAGAUGCGGACUACCUGCACCAGGACAGAAAGACCCUAUGAAGCUUUACUGUAACCUGAAAUUGAAAUUGGACUUUAUUUGCGCAGUAUAGGUGGGAGGCGUUGAAAGUAAUCUUGCGGGAUUAGUGGAGCCAUCAGUGAGAUACCACUCCUAUAAUGUUAGAUUUCUAACUUUGGAUCAUGAUCUGGUCAAAGAACAGUUUCAGGCGGGCAGUUUGACUGGGGCGGUCGCCUCCCAAAUGGUAACGGAGGCGUACAAAGGUUUCCUCUGAACGGGUAGAAAUCGUAUCUAGAGUGUAAAGGCAUAAGGAAGCUUGACUGUGAGACCUACAAGUCGAGCAGGGACGAAAGUCGGUCUUAGUGAUCAGACGGUGCUGAGUGGAAAGGCCGUCACUCAACGGAUAAAAGUUACUCUAAGGAUAACAGGCUGAUCUCCCCCAAGAGUUCACAUCGACGGGGAGGUUUGGCACCUUGAUGUCGGCUCAUCGCAUCCUGGGGCGGUAGUACGUCCCAAGGGUUGGGCUGUUCGCCCAUGAAAGCGGUACGCGAGCUGGGUUCAGAACGUCGUGAGACAGUUCGGUCCAUAUCCGGUGUAGGCGUUAGAAUAUUGAGAGGAGCCUUCUCUAGUACGAUAGGACCGAGAAGGACAUACCUCUGGUGUACCAGUUAUCGUGCCAACGGUAAACGCUGGGUAGCUAUGUAUGGAGAGGAUAACCGCUGAAAGCAUCUAAGUGGGAAGCCCACCUCAAGAUGAGUAUUCUCAUC
rnacentral:rRNA from 1 species